AGAAAGGCUCGGAGAAUAACUGCGGGGGAACGGUCUCCACGCGCCUGGAUUAUCGCCAGAUGCCCCCUGUCACAUGCUAACUGAAAAAGAAAUGAAGAUCUAGAUCUCAGAGAAAGUGGAGAAAGAGAAGAGAAAUCGGAAAAGAUUUGAUCCAUUCCCAGUGAGGACUGGAAUUUAAGGAGUAAGAGAUUCAAAUGCAUCCUGUUAAAGAGCCAUGGGUGAUUAGAUCAUAAAUCUGAAUGACCUUGAAGAUGAUGAAGGAAAUGCUUCU